rnacentral:tRNA from 1 species
GGAGGGAUGCCCGAGUGGUUGAAGGGGGUCGUCUCGAAAGCGAUCAUCCGCCGUUGAGGCGGAUCGGGGGUUCGAAUCCCUCUCCCUCCG